rnacentral:lncRNA from 1 species
CCAUCGCCAACAAAUCUAUCUCCAUAUGCAUCUCCUGUUUUCCCUUCUAGCCCACGUCGGUAUAGUCCUGAUUCUCAGAGGAUUGGACGGAUUGAUCUGGUCCCCGCUUUAAGUUUAGACAGUCAAUUAGGAAAACCAACUACAUCACCUCCAGUUUCUCCUCGAGGACUUAGACUGCUAUCUUCACCUGUCAGACAAUUGCACGACAAAUUGCAAAAUACACCACAAGUGGGUGUUGUACAUUUGGCUCUUCAGAGUAAUUUUACCCUAAAAGAGAAUCAUGACUUAAUUGUCUUGCAGCACGGUGCAGAUCUGUAUGAGAGCUUAUUGAAGGAAAUGUGCGCUGAUGAGGAUGGUGAUCUAUUGAUAGAUUCUGCUGUGAAAAAUGUGCCCAAAGUUUUUGUUGUGUCAACCUUGGUGAGCAUGAUGCCUGCACAGCCUUUCAUAUUUCGCAACUAUCAGGUAUGAGGCCUAAUAUUUUCAUUGCUGUCUAUUGUGGCUAUUGGCCUACAAUUGUUUGUGGCUGUUAAUGUAUUAUUUCUUAAUAAUCUUUCAUUAUCUUGCCUCCUAUGUCUUUACUUCUAUCUAAAUUGCAGUACCCUACUGGUACACCGGAGGUGACUCUUGCAAUGUCAGAAAGCUCUGGGGUCGUAUUAGUGUCACCUACAGAUGCACAAGUUGGCUAUACUUAUAAGCGCAGUGCAUUCAUUGGAAGUUGUAAGCAUCAAAUAUGGAAGGCUAUCAGAGCUUCCUCAGCUGCUCCUUAUUAUCUUGAUGAUUUCUCAGAUGGUACUGAAUGCUCUGUUAUUGUUUACAUCAGUUGGUUGUAUUUAAGUUUUCAUUAUUGACAUGUCUGGAAUAAGAUUUUCCCUUAUGCGCGGUUUGUCUGUCUGAGACUCUAAAGAAAGUGCCAUCGCCAACAAAUCUAUCUCCAUAUGCAUCUCCUGUUUUCCCUUCUAGCCCACGUCGGUAUAGUCCUGAUUCUCAGAGGAUUGGACGGAUUGAUCUGGUCCCCGCUUUAAGUUUAGACAGUCAAUUAGGAAAACCAACUACAUCACCUCCAGUUUCUCCUCGAGGACUUAGACUGCUAUCUUCACCUGUCAGACAAUUGCACGACAAAUUGCAAAAUACACCACAAGUGGGUGUUGUACAUUUGGCUCUUCAGAGUAACUCAGAUGGCUUGAUAAUGAGGUUUUUGUUAUUAUUUUUAAUGUUUUUCUAUUCAUGAUCACCUUUUAUUCUUCUAUAUGUGGAUGGAAGCAUGAUGUUACUGGC